UACGUAGGGUGCAAGCGUUGUCCGGAAUUAUUGGGCGUAAAGAGCUUGUAGGCGGUUUGUCGCGUCUGCUGUGAAAUUUCGGGGCUCAACCCCGAACUUGCAGUGGGUACGGGCAGACUAGAGUGUGGUAGGGGAGACUGGAAUUCCGUGGUGUAGCGGUGAAAUGCGCAGAUAUCAGGAGGAACACCGGUGGCGAAGGCGGGUCUCUGGGCAACAACUGACGCUGAGGAGCGAAAGCGUGGGGAGCGAACAGG
rnacentral:rRNA from 1 species